AACAAAUAAUAUUUACAACACAAUGAUACAUUUCUCUCAAUAUAUAAAUUGGGAAAUACCCUUCUUUAAUACAGUUCAAGAAAACUUCCUAGUUUACAGUGCCGCGUUUAUGUUUCAACCUUAUAAGACACACACGUUAAAACAGAUGUAUAAAACCUGAAUGAAUCGCAUAAUUUGUGAGUAUUCCGAAUUUUGUCAUCAGCCUUAUAAAAUCUCUUUCGUAAACACUUUCGCAUUCCAUGCAAUGUCAAACAAUAUCUGUUGUACACUUGUAUACAGUUACUGGCAGCUCAUUGGAAAACCGAUUCCAAUAACCAAGUUGUAUCUGACUGUUUACCCACUGCAACACUGAAAGCCUCCCUGAUUACUUGAUUAUCUAUCGUGGCACUAGCAAAUAUGUCAAGCUUUCGGAUGUGUUUGUCUUUAUCUAAUUGUUCUCAUUUAACUUCGGGCCGACGUUCACUCAUGUCACACAUUCUGAGAGGAAAAUGACGUUUUAUUUCGUUAGGAUAGAACAAGCAAGAUGGAUAUUUAGUUUUAUGAUAACAUUAUUGGUUUUUAAAGCGGAAUGCAAACGGUAUCGUUACUGCUCCGAAGGCUGUUGUCCUGAAGAAUACUGCGCAUAUCAUGCCAUUUGUUAUCCAAAGAUAAAGUGCUCAUACGGUUGCCCAGAUGGACAGUGUAUCAAAGAAAUAUGCAUGCCAGAAAAACCGUGCACGCAGGAGACAAGAUGCCAAACAGCUUUCACGUGCACAUGGAACUAUAACCUCGGAUAUAAAACGUGCCAGUAUAAUUUAGAUAUAGGAAAGACAGUAUGCGUAGACAGGAAAGGCAAUUCUUUAGCAAGACCUUUGACUUAAUAAUUUUUAUUCAUGAUAAUUAGCAAAGUACAAUAACUAUUCAUCUAAUUAAAUGUAUCAAAGUAUAUUUAUAUAUAUCAAAUACACAUUCUUACCAGUUUCUGUAGUGUAUAGAGAAUAAAUAACAAACUAUGA
rnacentral:lncRNA from 1 species